rnacentral:lncRNA from 1 species
UUGUCUUACAUGCACUGAGGAAAGCAUUGUCAAAACAUCAUUCUACAGCAAUUGUUCAGUUGGAGAUAUCCUAACAUAUGUCCAGAUCACACAAUGAAGCUCAACUCGCCAGUUUCCUUUCCAAGGAAAACUCUUCAAGUUAGUUCAAGGCUAUAUAUUCUUUCAAGAGCAAAAAAGAUUAAACCUGACCUCCUGGAUUCUAACAGCCGAUAAUCCAUAUGAAAAGGAGUCUGGAGUUGGAUCAACUAGUGACUGGAAUAUAUCCAAAUUACCUUCUUCAAAGAUGAAUAAAUUCAGC